rnacentral:lncRNA from 1 species
AAAAAUAAUGCUACUAUUAAUUACUAAUAAAUGUAAUGAGCAUCUAACACUAUACAAUAAUGUGAAUACAAUCAUGAGUAGUUCUUUAUGAUAAUGAAAUAAAUAACCAAUUAUAUUGUAGGACUGGAAAAGUCAUGAGUAUCAUUUCGAAUUUUGAAAAUUUCAUCAUAGAAGUAACAUUGAGUAGGCAUGGAUGGCCCUAAUGUAAAAUGAAUAUUAAAUUAAACCUCAAUUGGGAGCCAAUAAUCACAAAGGUUAUGACAUAAUUAGUAAUUAGUAUGCCCUAAUCAUAUGGUUCAAAUUAGAAACUUUAUUAUAUAUAAUAGUGGGUGUUUGGUCCCCAAAAGUCUAUAUAUAUCUAUAUUGUAAGCUCAUAUUAUUCAUAUUUCACCAUCCAAUUAAAACAACCCAAAGUUGCAUUUUGAAACCAAAAAUGCCUUCCAUCAAAACUUUCAAACAUAUGGCCUAUCCAUAUUACUCUCCUCCUCCACCGCCGCCGUCGCUGCCGCCACCACCACCACCACCAUGUAAUCCACCUUCACCACCACCGCCUCCACCAUGUAAUCCACCACCACCACCGCCACCGCCACCACCUCC